GACUAUCGUUGAUGAUGUUCUUACCGGAGGGAACAUAAACUUCGUUUUUCACUUCAUUCUAAAAGACCACGAGAUUUGACAAACUUCAGCAAAUCUUGAAAGUAAACAUGACGAGUUCUCGUAAAAUCCUCGGGUUUUGUUUGCAAUACAGCUCGCCGCCUAAAACAAUCGCGACUUUACAUUGAAAAGAAACGAAGAGCAGGCAAAAUAGUAAAAUUUCUUCUUUCGUCAACGUGAUUGAAGCUGAUAUGAAAUAAGAUAGUUUGAAGAGCCGUCGUUUCGCAAGGCGUUUGCUUCUCGUAAGCAGAAAUUGUGAUAUUUUCCAAGAGGCGACAAGUAUACAAUAUAAGGCCAGAAAUAUAACACACAAGCGCCGUUUAACAGUCAAGAAUUUCGGCUAUUUCAUUGGAAUAUCUUGAACAAUUAGGACUAAUCAUUGACAGAAUUUCUCCGUCUGUUUUCAAAUAAACAUUAGAAUAAAGAUGAUGUUUAUAGCACAAUGAAAAUACCACAUAGCGAUGUUAUAUUAACGAUUAUUUUUGUGCGACUAAAUCAGCUUAAAUAUAAUUUAUAGAGGUAAUUGGAGAGGAGCAGAAUUUCCUCAUUACGAGCAAGUGAGCGUAUGUUACGCACGAGAAAAGAAAGAGGAAAUACGAAAGACAUUCUUUAGCGUAUAUUUAUAGUCGAAUGUAUAAACAAAGUAAGAGAGGGAGGCAGUCCUAGGAGUUAGGUAUAUACACAAAUAAAAACAUAAAGAUGUUCA